AUGGGGGGUACUGCCUGCCCAGUGAAUAAUAAUUUUAACGGCCGCGGUAUCCUGACCGUGCAAAGGUAGCACAAUCACUAGUCUCCUAAAUAGGGACCAGUAUCAAUGGCAAGACGAGGGCUCAACUGUCUCCCUUCUUAAAAACUAAACUUCUCUAGCCGUGCAAAAGCGGCCAUAAAAACGUUAGACGAGAAGACCCUAUCGAGCUUUAGAGAGAAAAACAAAGAUUGGAGCUAAACGCCGCCCUAUACAACGCCCUGCCCUCUUUCCCUUUUCCUUAUACACUCUCUUUGGUUGGGGCAACCACGGAGCACAACUAACCUCCGAAUUAACCUUUCCCAAGAUCCUAAAUCAUAAAUUACGACCCCUAAAAUCCAUGACCCAGAAAAUUCUGAGCAUUAAAUAAGUUACCGUAGGGAUAACAGCGUAAUCCCUUCCAAGAGUCCACAUUGCCGAAGGGGUUUGCGACCUCGAUGUUGGAUCGGGUUAUCCUGAUGGUGCAGCCGCUAUCAAGGGUUGGUCUGUUCGACCAUUAAAAACCUACGUGAUCUGAGUUCAAA
rnacentral:rRNA from 1 species